rnacentral:rRNA from 1 species
GACGUAGGAGGCGAGCGUUAUCCGGAUUCACUGGGCGUAAAGCGCAUGUAGGCGGUUGGAUAAGUCCGUUGUUAAAGCCCCUGGCUCAACUGGGGGAGGUCAAUGGAGACUAUUCGACUUGAGGGCAACAGAGGCACAUGGAACUCCCGGUGUAGCGGUGGAAUGCGUAGAGAUCGGGAGGAACACCAGUGGCGAAGGCGACUACCUGGCCUGUUCUUGACGCUGAGGCGCGAAAGCUAGGGGAGCAAACGGG